UCCAGACUCCUACGGGAGGCAGCAGUGGGGAAUAUUGGGCAAUGGGCGCAAGCCUGACCCAGCAACGCCGCGUGAAGGAAGAAGGCUUUCGGGUUGUAAACUUCUUUUCUCAGGGACGAAUAGAUGACGGUACCUGAGGAAUAAGCCACGGCUAACUACGUGCCAGCAGCCGCGGUAAUACGUAGGUGGCAAGCGUUAUCCGGAUUUACUGGGUGUAAAGGGCGUGUAGGCGGGGACGCAAGUCAGAUGUGAAAACCACGGGCUCAACCUGUGGCCUGCAUUUGAAACUGUGUUUCUUGAGUACUGGAGAGGCAGACGGAAUUCCUAGUGUAGCGGUGAAAUGCGUAGAUAUUAGGAAGAACACCAGUGGCGAAGGCGGCUUUCUGGACUGAAACUGACGCUGAGGCACGAAAGCGUGGGGAGCGAACAGGAUUAGAUACCCGUGUA
rnacentral:rRNA from 1 species